GCCAGUGUGGUGUAGUGGUUUGAGUCCUGGACUAUGGCUCUGGAGAACAUGGUUCGAAUCCCUGCUCGAGCA